UGUGCAGGCGGGUUUUAAUCCCGUCCUUAUCAU
rnacentral:tRNA from 1 species